UACCAGCACCCCGAGUGGUCGGGACGAUUAUUGGGCCUAAAGCAUCCGUAGCCGGUCAUGCAAGUCCUCCGUUAAAUCCAGCCGCUCAACGGUUGGGCUGCGGAGGAUACUACGUGGCUAGGAGGCGGGAGAGGCAAGCGGUACUCAGUGGGUAGGGGUAAAAUCCUUUGAUCCAUUGAAGAACACCAGCGGCGAAGGCAGCUCGCUGGGACGGUACUGACGCUGAGGCGCGAAAGCGUGGGGAGCGAACAGG
rnacentral:rRNA from 1 species